rnacentral:rRNA from 1 species
UACAGGGGUCUCAAGCGUUGUUCGGAUUCAUUGGGCGUAAAGGGUGCGUAGGCGGCGCGGUAAGUCGGGUGUGAAAUCUCGGAGCUUAACUCCGAAACUGCAUUCGAUACUGCCGUGCUUGAGGACGGGAGAGGAGACUGGAAUUUACGGUGUAGCGGUGAAAUGCGUAGAUAUCGUAAGGAAGACCAGUGGCGAAGGCGGGUCUCUGGACAGUUACUGACGCUGAGGCACGAAGGUCAGGGGAGCAAACGGG